ACUUGCUUUCUUUGCUGGCGACCGGCGCACGGGUGAGUAACACGUAUCCAACCUGCCCUUUACUCGGGGAUAGCCUUUCGAAAGAAAGAUUAAUACCCGAUAGUAUAACGAUUCCGCAUGGUUUCAUUAUUAAAGGAUUCCGGUAAAGGAUGGGGAUGCGUUCCAUUAGGUUGUUGGUGAGGUAACGGCUCACCAAGCCUUCGAUGGAUAGGGGUUCUGAGAGGAAGGUCCCCCACAUUGGAACUGAGACACGGUCCAAACUCCUACGGGAGGCAGCAUG
rnacentral:rRNA from 1 species